rnacentral:rRNA from 1 species
UUGGAGGGCAAGUCUGGUGCCAGCAGCCGCGGUAAUUCCAGCUCCAAUAGCGUAUAUUAAAGUUGUUGCAGUUAAAAAGCUCGUAGUUGAACUUCGGGGUCUACCCAUUGGUCAGGCUUAAUUGUCUGUACUGGUGAGAUGGAUCUCUACCUUCUGAGGAACUUUCAUGCCAUUUAUUUGGUGUGAUGGGAAAUCAGGACUGUUACUUUGAAAAAAUUAGAGUGUUUAAAGCAGACUAUCGUCUGAAUACAUUAGCAUGGAAUGAUGAAAUAGGACGGACUGAUUCUAUUUCGUUGGUUUCUAGGAUCACCGUAAUGAUUAAUAGGGAUAGUUGGGGGCAUUAGUAUUCAAUUGUCAGAGGUGAAAUUCUUGGAUUUAUUGAAGACUAACUACUGCGAAAGCAUUUGCCAAGGAUGUUUUCAUUAAUCAAGAACGAAAGUUAGGGGAUCGAAGACGAUCAGAUACCGUCGUAGUCUUAACCAUAAACUAUGCCGACUAGGGAUCGGACGAAGUUAAUUUUAUAAUGACGCGUUCGGCACCUUACGGGAAACCAAAGUGUUUGGGUUC